rnacentral:rRNA from 1 species
UACGAAGGGGGCUAGCGUUGCUCGGAAUCACUGGGCGUAAAGGGUGCGUAGGCGGGUUUUUAAGUCAGGGGUGAAAUCCUGGAGCUCAACUCCAGAACUGCCUUUGAUACUGAAGAUCUUGAGUCCGGGAGAGGUGAGUGGAACUGCGAGUGUAGAGGUGAAAUUCGUAGAUAUUCGCAAGAACACCAGUGGCGAAGGCGGCUCACUGGCCCGGUACUGACGCUGAAGCGCGAAAGCUAGGGGAGCGAACGGG